CCCUUAGAUGUUCUGGGCCGCACACGCGCUACACUGAAGGAGGCAGCGUGUACUCCUGGAUCGAAAGAUUUGGGUAACCCGCGAAUCUCCUUCGUGCUAGGGAUUGAGGUUUGCAAUUAUCCUUCAUGAACGAGGAAUUCCCAGUAAGUGCAAGUCAUAAGCUUACGCUGACUACGUCCCUGCCCUUUGUACACACCGCCCGUCGCUACUACCGAUUGAAUGAUUUAGUGAGGACUUCGGACUGGGACCGAUGCGGCUUUCGGGCUGCGUCGGUAUUCUGGAAAGAUGCCCAAACUGUAUCAUUUAGAGGAAGUAAAAGUCGUANCA
rnacentral:rRNA from 1 species